rnacentral:rRNA from 1 species
GGCGGACGGGUGAGUAAUGCUUGGGAAUCUGCCCAAUAGCGGGGGAUAACUCGAGGAAACUCGAGCUAAUACCGCAUACGCCCUACGGGGGAAAGCGGGGGACUCUUCGGAGCCUCGCACUAUUGGAUGAGCCCAAGUCGGAUUAGCUUGUUGGUAGGGUAAUGGCCUACCAAGGCGACGAUCCGUAGCUGGUCUGAGAGGACGAUCAGCCACACCGGAACUGAGACACGGUCCGG